UAGCACUGCCAGGGGUUGUUCGGAGCAGCUGCCUGACUGCAAAGGUCAAGGGAUUGGGUUUCCACCUUGCAGUGACGUCCUGAGAGGUGUGCACGGGACCCCAUGGAGAGAAGGCUGUGGAUUGCCCCAUCUGGCUCACCCAUCCAGAUAUUGAUGGAGCAGCCACUCUAUGCUGGACACUGGGAAUCUAGCAGUGAACAAAACAAAUUCCCUGCCCCAGCUGAGCUAACAUCCUAGGCAGGGAAUCAAACAAUACGGCCU
rnacentral:lncRNA from 1 species